rnacentral:lncRNA from 1 species
GGUAGGAUCUUUUGAAAUACUUGAUUUAUUUUUUUUGAUAGUUUUAUGAUGUAAAUUGCUAUCAAUAGUGUGGAUUUUUUGUUUAAAAUAUCCAUUGUUGGUUGGUUUUGCAUUAGUUGUAUGAAGGGGCUUGAUCCUUUUGAAAGGAAAAUUGCAUGAAACUUUUAUUGAAAUUUCACUUUAUAGAAAAAUCUUCAAUUAAUACUAAACUAAAGAAUAAAUAAAGCAAAGUUACUCAAGCCCCGAAAAGGACUGCUAACAUAAAAAUAUUCAUUGUUGGUUUUGCAUUAAAAGGAGGGAG